rnacentral:lncRNA from 1 species
CAGGAGUGGAAGCAAGAAGCCUCCUAAGGAGAUGGAUGCUGGAGCUGUGGACGUCCAGCUGUGGAUGGCAGAAGGGCCACUGUCUGAAGUGGGAAGUCUGGACAUUCCCAAAGGAGUCUUUGAAAGACUGGGUCUUCUCCUGAGCCUGAGAGCAGUGCUUCUUCCAAUGGCACUGCUUCCAUUUUAAGCAUCAGCAUGGCCCGGGAGCUUGUUGGAAUGAAGAAUCUCCAGCUCCACCCGAAACCUGCUGAAUCAGAACCAGCAUUUAACACGUCACCAGGAUCCCAGGUCACUUGGCUGUCCUUGGCUCAACUGUGAGUAAGGAGGAGUCCUGCGGAAUGAAAAAUGACUACCCAGAUUUGCCACCAAAAUCCAGCAGGAGUGCCUUAGAAAGCAGGGUAACAUACUCACAGGAUCUGUGGAUCAGGACGUGAACAUCUCUGGAAGCCAUUAUCUACCCCACACCAUCUCUCUAGCACUUAGUACACGGCCUGUACAGAGCAGAUGCUCGGCAAGGAUCUGGAGAAAGAAAGAAUGAAUGAAUAAAUAAACAAAGAAAUCAGGAGCCAGAUGAAGCCUCCCCUUCUUUCCCCCUGAGCCCUGGCCCACCUGUGAGCAUCUGACCUGGAUCAAAUGCUCCAGGUCAAAGGCGAUGAGGCCCCACAGUGCUCCCUAACACAUGAGUCCUUCAAUUCAAGGUGGGGCUCAGGGUUGAGGCUUUGCCCUCAGGACCGAGCUCCA